UACGUAGGGGGCAAGCGUUAUCCGGAUUUACUGGGUGUAAAGGGAGCGUAGACGGUGCGGCAAGUCUGAAGUGAAAGCCCAGGGCUUAACCCUGGGACUGCUUUGGAAACUGUCAUACUAGAGUGCUGGAGAGGUAAGUGGAAUUCCUAGUGUAGCGGUGAAAUGCGUAGAUAUUAGGAGGAACACCAGUGGCGAAGGCGGCUUACUGGACAGUAACUGACGUUGAGGCUCGAAAGCGUGGGGAGCAAACAGG
rnacentral:rRNA from 1 species